GGCAUAGCUCAAUGGUAGAGCACAUGCUUAGCAGGCAUGAGGGCCUGGGAUCAAUCCCCCAAUGCC
rnacentral:tRNA from 1 species